AGGGUAAGAGGGAGAAGGGAGGGGGGGAGCUUCGAACAAAGAACCAGGCUCCCCCCUCCCUCUCCCUCUCUGCCCA